AACUUCCAUAUGCUGCAGGUAUGGACAUAAAAAAAAAAAAAAAGCAGAUAUGCUUAAGGCAAAACAGUUAAGUACUAUUGAUUAUUAUCUUUCAUUAUUCUGUGCUUUGCUUUGUAACCACUACUUCUCUUAUAUUCAUACUAUUCCUAUAACCUGAAGCCUUCAUACUUUCCUUCAAAACCCAUAGUAAUCCCUCCAGACUCCUCCACAGUAUACUAUAACAUGAUAGACUAGGCUUUCACAAACACAUGCUUUCUAAGGCGUAAUGCUCCAAUCCCAGAUUUGUAUGAGUUUAGGACCCUGCCAAAUGAUCAAAGUAAAAGGCAGAGAAAAUAAUGGGUUUUGGUGUUUAGGGUAGCUUAAUAUUGUGAUUCUUUAAAUAGAAGUCAGUGGUAAAGGGUAUGGUUUUGGAGUUAUUUGGGCUAUGGUUUUGAAUUCUGCAUUAGUUUUGUGAUAUUGGAAAUAUAACAUCUCUGCACCUACUUUUUAUCUACAAAAACGAAGAUUUUUGCAAUUCAUUUUAGUAAUUAAGGAAGCUAAUUUGUAUCAUAGAUUACCAGAUACAUAGAAAAUUUCAAUCAGUAUUGAGGGUGAUUUUUAUAUGUCAUUUGGAAAGUUAAAAAUCUUCACUGUCUUUCUUCUCUCUGCCCUAGAAUUUUGUUCCUAUCUGACCAUUUUCUCAGCCUAAGCUUAGACAUCUCUUUCUCAAGGAUAACCUAGGAGAGUUCCCAUCAUGGUGCAGUGGUUAACAAAUCCGACUAGGAACCAUGAGUUUGCGGGUUUGAUCCCUGGCCUUGCUCAGUGGGUUAAGGAUCUGGCAUUGCCGUGAGCUGUGGUGUAGGUCGCAGAGGCGGCUCGGAUCCUGACAUAGGCCGGUGGCUACAGCUCCGAUUAGACCCCUAGACUGGAAACCUCAAUAUGCCACAGUGUUGCCCUGGAAAAUGCAAAAAGCCCCCCCCCAAAAAAGAAGGUCAACCUAGGCUCUUCAGACUCUCAUAAUAUCUCUCAUUGCCCUCCAUAUCUCAUGUCAUUGAAAGUAUCACGUUGUAAUGUUUCCUUUAAUACCUGAAUACUCUGCUAUUUCCUUGGACUUGAAGUUCCAAGAGGGCAGGGACUUUGUUUAGUUUUUUUUAGAAAGCUAUAUCCCUCAUCCUGAUAGCAUAGUCAUACUUUUUGCUGAAUUAAAAAAAAAAAAAGAAUGAACAUGUGCAUGAAUAAAUGCUUUCGGAUGUAAACGUGUGUAUGUCUGAAAGGGUGGAUGAAUGGUUGGUUGUAGAGUUGGAAGCAUGGGUAGAUGGACAAAUGAGCGUCUUACCACAAAGACGAAGGAAUAAUGGUAAUGUCAGUUUCAGUGGUGGCAAGCAGAGAAUAUAUUUUUGGCUUGGCUUUUUGAAAUCAUUUAAACUAUACUAAAUGUCAUGCCUUCACAAAGUGCUGACCUCAACUGCCCCAGUGAGUGCAUCUCCAAGGAAGUUGGCAACAUAGUAAAUUUUACUUGGUGAGUGACAGGCAAGCUAGAGAAUAAAUAAUAUGUCACAGUAUGCUAAAGUUUUCAUCCCAACACAUGAAGAAAAUACUUUCAUAAACAAGGUCUACUUCUACCUGGAUAUGGUUAAAAUAAGAGGUAUUUUGUGUACUGUACAUUUCAUUAUUCUAUAUUGCAGAAUUACUGGACUCUUUGGAGGUGAUUCAUUAUGCAGUUUCAUCUGAUAGUGAAAAUCCUAGUACAAUGCAGAACAAACUACAAACUUGCAAUGAAUAUUAAAUAAUACAUUUUGCCUAAUGUGUGUGCCGAUUCACCCAGCACACAGGAAUGAAGUUUGUCAGAUAUUUAUUUGAUUGUUAGGAUAACUGUAAAUAGUUCACAUGAGUUCAGCAUAUGUUCAAACGUUGAAACCAUUGCUCAAUUUGAUUUGAUAUCAUUGAUAUUUGACAGUGGGCUAUUUCUGCCUCACACUAGCUCGGUAGAUAGAAGAGUGAUGAUGGAGAACAUUGUCUAGCGCCUCUGUGGUACUGACCCCUCUUUGCCAACCUUAAGAAGACUGAAAGGAAAUUUUUUUUUUCCCUCAAAACUGACCUUUCCCAGUUUAAUUACUUACAUCCAAUCUUGAUUAUGUUUCAUCUGUAAUUCUCCAGUAUUAAUUCCCUAUAAAUCAUUGUUGAAUGCUUGUCAGCUUCAUUUUGUGAAAUUAAUUAAUGGUGAUUUGAUAUAUGAAUUUUAACAAUUUGGAAUAUGUUUACUGAUGUAAAAUCUAUUUUCUAACAUGUAACUAUUUUCUUUGAAAUAAUGUUUUGUGUUUUUCUCAAGAGAAGUUUCCAAAUCAUUCAUACACACACACACACACACACACACACACACUCAUACAAAUGCACGUGUGUGUAUAUAUAUGCAUCAUAUGUGGUAUGUACUGUAGAUACAAAAGACUAAAUCUGAAAUAUAGGAGACAAAUAACACUUGCUUCAACCAAAGUACUCUGGGAGAGAUUUUUAUAUUAUUUAUUUUUAAGGGUAAACUAGUUUCAAAUUAAAUGUCAAACAUAAUUUUGUGUUCAAAAUUUGAUAUAUGUGAUUGUCCUUAGAGAAAAUCUUAGAACACAUGUCUUCUUGCCAAAUUUGUAUUUGCAUAAUAGUGAACUGUAUGGUUAUAGAUCACUUUGUGGCAUAGUGCCAACCCAUAAACUGCUUGGUAAAGCUACUAAAACCUUCAAUCUGAAAUACAUUUAUCUCAGUUAGGAGUUUGAACUCUCUCUAUAAAAAAUGAAAUGUACUGGAGUCUCUUAGUUCUUGAAAAAGAGAGAGAACAAAUUCUAAAUUCUGUUUAUUUCCACAUUUCUUCCUUUAACUGCUGCAGACAUAAAUGCAAAAUGAAUGUUGACAUAUUUGUUUAGCAUCCCUGAACAGAUUAAACUGCUUUAGAAGUUAUUCUAUAAUCAGGCUUGAAAAAUAGAAACAAGCAUUCACAUCCCUGGAUAGAUUAAAUUGUUUCAAAAGUUUCUCAUUAAUCAGACAUGAAAAAUAAAUUAUAAAAGUAGCAGUAGAUUCUUUGAAAAGUACUUGAAAUUUUCCUUGCAAAAAACUUUUACAGUUUCACAGCAUAAUGCCACUUUUGGUCAUGCACAUACAAAAUUAUAUUUCUUGUAUGUGUUCUCUGUAGGUGAGCUGCUAAGUAGGAAUGAAUAUUGCCCUUUAGGAAGUACAGUGUGUGUAUAUAAAGAAUAUUGUGUCUAAUUGUAGAGCUGUCAGUUACUUAUGAUGGGCCUUUGAACAAAUAUAAUGGAAAGAAAAUAUAAUUUUUAAAACUUUGAACUUUUUCUAGGUGAAAUGCAAGUAUAAGGCUGUUAUUCUUUGUAAUGAUUCUGUAAGUGUAGUAAUUUUAUAUCCACUUUAGACGAGAAGAAGCUGAACUUCAAAGAUAUUAUUUUACUUAUCUAAUAUAAUAUAGCUGCUAAGUUGUAGAGACAGUAUUCAAUAUUAGACCUAUCACAUCCCAAAUUUCCUCUUCCUCCCAUUCUGUGCUAUUUCUCUGAUACUAGUUUUCUCUCUUGUAAAAUGAAAGAAUUAGGUUAUAUUUUUAGUAUCCUAUGUCUCACUCAAAUUCUCUAAAUUCUUGCUGAACAAAUAUUGAAACUUGGGAUGAAGAAAGAUUCACUUAUUUUACAAAUGGAUAUUAUUCCAGCACUGUGAGUUCUUAACUUUAUUUUCAUUACUCGGUCAGUGAGUAUCAGUGACUCAGUUUUGUUAGGCACCAUACAGGCAAUAAAGACAUAUGAACCACUAAGUUUUUAUUUUAUUGGAUAAAUUUGCUCAUAGGUUUGAACGUAGUUAAUGAUGAAUCACCAGUAGUUACAUUAAUUCCAUUAAUAAUCUUGACAUUCACAUAUAAUUAUUAUUUUUUGUGUGCCAUUGAGUUGUUUCAGUUGCCAGAUAGAGAUUGAAAAGGACAGGUCUUGUUCUCUGUUUUUAGGGAAUAUUUUUAAAUUAAAAAUCUCUAUAAUUUUUUUAUUUUUAUUUUUACCCACAUGCAAAAAUCAUUGAUUCAUCUCAUUCAUUUGGAAAGGUAUAUUUAAUCUGGUUUAUACACAACUUUGAGAUUUAUUUCAAAGAGACAGUUGUACCAAAAAGCAGCUUGAGUAAUCAAAGAAGUCAGAUUUUUAGUCAAGUGUCUCAUGAUACACAGGACACCAAAAUUACUAGGAUGUUGUGGACAUAUUUCUGAUUUCAAGCAUGAUGAUAUAAUCAGUAUCAGAAUUGCCUCCAUAUGCACUAUGAAGCUGUGUAAGAUAUAUGAGGUCACUAUAUUCAGAUACUAGAUAAUAGGCAGUACUUGAAAGAGAUACUUGAGAAAACAGAAAUGUAAAAGUUAGGUUCAGCUUCCAUUCCAGAUUUGUACAUGGAGAUUUUUUUCCAAAAUGUGACCCAAGGGAAUGAAGCGCAAAUAAAAACCUGGGAUAUCAUUGAAUGGAGAAAACAGAAGUCAAAGUUUGGGACUACUGGGAAUCCCCAAUGAUUGAUGAAUCUGACUAGGAACCAUGAGUAGGUUCGAUGCCUGGCCUUUCUCAGUAGGUUAAGGAUCCGGUUUUGCCGUGAGCUGUGGUGUAGGUCGCAGAUGCAGCUCGGAUCCUGCUUUGCUGUGGCUCUUGCAUAGGCCAGCGGCUACAGCUCUGAUUAGACCCCUAGCCUGGGAACGUCCAUAUGCUGCAGGAGCAGCCCUAGAAAAG
rnacentral:lncRNA from 1 species